rnacentral:rRNA from 1 species
CCCUUAGAUGUUCUGGGCUGCACGCGCGCUACACUGAAGCGUUCAACGAGUAUUCACCUUGCCCGGGAGGGUUGGGUAAUCUUUUGAAAACGCUUCGUGAUGGGGAUAGAUUAUUGCAAUUAUUAAUCUUCAACGAGGAAUUCCUAGUAAGCGCGAGUCAUCAGCUCGUGCUGAUUACGUCCCUGCCCUUUGUACACACCGCCCGUCGCUCCUACCGAUUGAGCGGUCCGGUGAAAUCUUGGGAUUUGCUUUGCUUUCGUUUAUUCGAUGCUCGGCGAAGAACUUGAGUAAACCUUACCGUUUAGAGGAAGGUGAAGUCGUAACA